UACGGGGGGGGCAAGCGUUGUUCGGAAUUACUGGGCGUAAAGGGUUCGUAGGUGGCCCGCUAAGUCACACGUGAAAUCCCUCAGCUUAACUGGGGAACUGCGUGUGAGACUGGCGGGCUUGAGUGCAGGAGAGGAACGCGGAAUUCCAGGUGUAGCGGUGAAAUGCUUAGAUAUCGGCAAGAACACCUAUAGCGAAGGCAGCUUACUAGGCUGUAACUGACGCUGAGGCACGAAAGUGUGGGGAUCAAACAGG
rnacentral:rRNA from 1 species